rnacentral:ncRNA from 1 species
GAUCCCCUGAUGGCGGGGCAAGGCCAUCAUUCCCUCCCUGUUGGACUAGGCCCGGAGUUCGCUCCGGGCCCUUUUU